rnacentral:lncRNA from 1 species
UAACAUCAUUAUCUUCCUGUCUUCUGUUUCUGGUCAGCACAGGAACUAUUCCCCCUAUCACACUCCCCAAACAACAGCAGCAACAAAAAUCUAUAAUCGAGACAAUUUAAAACAUUCAGAAACACACAUACCCCCCAAAAUAGAUUUUUUAAUUAGUUUUAGCUUGAAAUUUUAAGAGGGGAAACCACAUGCCACAGGGAGGAAAGACAGUUGUGUUGGAGCAAAGGGAUUCAGAAGCAUGCUGUACAACCCUUGCUCUCCCAUCCACCCCUGGAGGCAUUUGUGAUGCCAGCCUUCAACUGCAACAUCCAAAGCGGCUACACAGCUUUUUCAUGAACAAGGUAACCUGUAGCAAUCUUCCUAGCUUAUAUCUCCACACCAGGCAGACUCACUGCAGACCCACAGGCCAAAGCCAACCCCUGCCCUGCACCUUAUGAGGCACAAACAGGUCUCAAGUCAACCACCUCCUACAGGCUGCUAAGGACCAGGACCAGAUAUACACCACCUACAUCAUUUCCAUGUGACAUUAAGCAUAGAUGACCACCGGUUGCUGUGCUCCUCUUAUUUUGAACCAGAGUUAAAAGAUACAAGCUAGCUGUUUAGUUUUACCUGGGGUAAUAUCUAUCUGCCUGCUAUAGAUACCAGAGCACCACAAAUCACUCAAACUGAGGUUUAUGGGUUUUCCUCCAGGUAAAGGGAGAACUCAGCCUUAGAAAAACACCUCUCUCCCAUCACUGAUAAUCAAGUAGCCGCAGUCUUGUGAGCACACCUGCUGGCUUAUACCAGCUGGACAUGUAGCCUUCAGGGUUGUUUGCAGAGAUCUAAAUUCUGAAAUAUAAAGUUCUUUCUUGGUUUAGUUAGGUAAAUUAAUUACAGCAGCAGAUGGUACUGGCAAGCCUCUCCAAGUUGAGAUCCUCACAGGAAAGCCACUAGGAAAAUUUUAAACAGCAAUGCUACUUGCCUAUGGUAUUCUUCAGUACGAGUUUUCUUUCUAUUUUGAAGAACACACACCGAAACAAACCUGUGGGAGGUGCUUCCUGCACGCUUGUCAAAAUGAAACAGCAUCUGUUAGUUUUCAUAGACU